rnacentral:rRNA from 1 species
GAACGCUGGCGGCGUGCUUAACACAUGCAAGUCGAGCGGAAAGGCCCUUCGGGGUACUCGAGCGGCGAACGGGUGAGUAACACGUGAGUAACCUGCCCCUGACUCUGGGAUAAGCCUGGGAAACCGGGUCUAAUACCGGAUAUGACACUUCACUGCAUGGUGUGGGUGUGGAAAGUUUUUUCGGUUGGGGAUGGGCUCGCGGCCUAUCAGCUUGUUGGUGGGGUGAUGGCCUACCAAGGCGACGACGGGUAGCCGGCCUGAGAGGGCGACCGGCCACACUGGGACUGAGACACGGCCCAGACUCCUACGGGAGGCAGCAGUGGGGAAUAUUGCGCAAUGGGCGGAAGCCUGACGCAGCGACGCCGCGUGGGGGAUGACGGCCUUCGGGUUGUAAACCUCUUUCAGCAGGGACGAAGUUGACGUGUACCUGUAGAAGAAGCGCCGGCUAACUACGUGCCAGCAGCCGCGGUAAUACGUAGGGCGCGAGCGUUGUCCGGAAUUAUUGGGCGUAAAGAGCUCGUAGGUGGCUU